GGCGGCCCUGGUGACAGCAAGGUGGUGGUGGGGGGGGGCACCUGCGCAGCUGGGCCGCCUUCUCUGGGGAAGGCCUUCUGUUUGCACAAAUGUUCCCGGUCUGAGGUUCAGGGUCUGUGGCUCGCUCUGCUCUUGCUGCUUCAUUUACGGACCAGCCGGAUCCCAGGAUACCUGACGGCCCGCCCGUCUGCUAACCAAGAGCCUCAGCUGUCUGGGGCACUAUGACCACUGUGUGGCCGUGACCAAGAGGCUUUGCCCUGUCGCUUGGCGUGACCUCCUCUGGCUCCCCCUUUGUUUACUUGGGGGCCUUGUACCCACCUCCUUUGGAGCAGGGGCCCAUGGUCCAGUGCAGAAUGGCCGUUCCUGGCUUUUCUGCAUCCCCUGCUGGAACAAGGGGAGCCACUGCAACCAUCCCGGGCGGAGUGUGGACUCUGCAGCCCAUGCAUCCCAGCUCCUCUGUCACCAUCCACAGGGCGGACCUUGGUUUCCCUGGACUCAGGGAUGGACGUCCUGCAGCAGGUUUCCCUGGGGAAGACCUUAGCAUCCUGGUCUGGAAACUGGGGAUAAUGACAACAUUUACACCAGAGGACUGCUGAACAGAUUAAAUGAAAUAAAGUCAACUUCAUGAUAAGCACACAGUGAAUGUCAGAUGUCAUUUUGAGUGACUCAAAAGCAACCCACCCCCUGUGUUCUGAGAGUUCUUAAAAUAUUUGGUAACUGUUACCAUGUAUGGAGUGUCUUCCAAACCUCCAGAUGCUCCCUGACUUAAC
rnacentral:lncRNA from 9 species